rnacentral:rRNA from 1 species
GACGAACGCUGGCGGCGUGCUUAACACAUGCAAGUCGAACGGAAAGGCCCUGCUUUUGUGGGGUGCUCGAGUGGCGAACGGGUGAGUAACACGUGAGUAACCUGCCCUUGACUUUGGGAUAACUUCAGGAAACUGGGGCUAAUACCGGAUAGGAGCUCCUGCUGCAUGGUGGGGGUUGGAAAGUUUCGGCGGUGGGGGAUGGACUCGCGGCUUAUCAGCUUGUUGGUGGGGUAGUGGCUUACCAAGGCUUUGACGGGUAGCCGGCCUGAGAGGGUGACCGGCCACAUGGGGACUGAGAUACGGCCCAGACUCAUACGGGAGGCAGCAGUGGGGAAUAUUGCACAAGGGGCGGAAGCCUGAUGCAGCAACGCCGCGUGCGGGAUGACGGCCUUCGGGUUGUAAACCGCUUUCGCCUGUGACGAAGCGUGAGUGACGGUAAUGGGUAAAGAAGCACCGGCUAACUACGU